UACGUAGGGGGCAAGCGUUGUCCGGAAUCAUUGGGCGUAAAGAGCGUGUAGGCGGUCCGAUAAGUCGGCUGUGAAAGUCAAGGGCUCAACCCUUGAAUGCCGGCCGAUACUGUCGGGCUAGAGUCCGGAAGAGGUGAGUGGAAUUCCUGGUGUAGCGGUGAAAUGCGCAGAUAUCGGGAGGAACACCUAUGGCGAAGGCAGCUCGCUGGGACGUUACUGACGCUGAGACGCGAAAGCGUGGGGAGCAAACAGG
rnacentral:rRNA from 1 species